rnacentral:rRNA from 1 species
UCUGUUUGAUCCUGGCUCAGGAUGAACGCUAGCGACAGGCCUAACACAUGCAAGUCGAGGGGCAACAGUAAAUAAGCUUGCUUAUUUAGCUGGCGACCGGCGCACGGGUGAGUAACACGUAUGCAACCUACCUACUACAGGGGGAUAGCCCGUUGAAAGACGGAUUAAUACCGCAUAAAACACUAGUACUGCAUGGUACAACUGUUAAAGAUUUAUCGGUAGUAGAUGGGCAUGCGCUUCAUUAGCUAGUUGGGGAGGUAACGGCUCACCAAGGCAACGAUGAAUAGGGGAACUGAGAGGUUUAUCCCCCACACUGGUACUGAGACACGGACCAGACUCCUACGGGAGGCAGCAGUGAGGAAUAUUGGUCAAUGGACGCAAGUCUGAACCAGCCAAGUCGCGUGAAGGAUGACUGCCCUACGGGUUGUAAACUUCUUUUAUACUAGAGUAAAAAAGAUUACGAGUAAUCUCUUGCAAGUAUAGUAUGAAUAAGCAUCGGCUAACUCCGUGCCAGCAGCCGCGGUAAUACGGAGGAUGCGAGCGUUAUCCGGAUUUAUUGGGUUUAAAGGGUGCGUAGGCGGAAGAUUAAGUCAGCGGUGAAAGUUUGAGGCUCAACCUUAAAAUUGCCGUUGAAACUGGUUUUCUUGAGUAUAUUUGAAGUGGGCGGAAUUCGUGGUGUAGCGGUGAAAUGCAUAGAUAUCACGAAGAACUCCAAUUGCGCAGGCAGCUCACUAAACUAUAACUGACGCUGAGGCACGAAAGCGUGGGUAUCAAACAGGAUUAGAUACCCUGGUAGUCCACGCCGUAAACGAUGAUUACUAGCUGUUUGUGAUAUUACAAUAAGCGGCUAAGCGAAAGCGAUAAGUAAUCCACCUGGGGAGUACGCCGGCAACGGUGAAACUCAAAGGAAUUGACGGGGGCCCGCA